GGAACUAGCUCAGUGGUAGAGAGCAUGCUUAGCAUGCAUGAGGUCCUGGGUUCAGUCCCCAGAACCUCCA
rnacentral:tRNA from 1 species